CAAGUCGAACGGCAGCACGGGUGCUUGCACCUGGUGGCGAGUGGCGAACGGGUGAGUAAUACAUCGGAACGUACCUUAUCGUGGGGGAUAACGCAGCGAAAGUUGCGCUAAUACCGCAUACGCCCUGAGGGGGAAAGCGGGGGACCGUAAGGCCUCGCGCGAUUAGAGCGGCCGAUGUCUGAUUAGCUUGUUGGUGAGGUAAAAGCUCACCAAGGCGAUGAUCAGUAGCUGGUCUGAGAGGACGAUCAGCCACACUGGGACUGAGACACGGCCCAGACCCCUACGGGAGGCAGCAGUGGGGAAUUUUGGACAAUGGGGGCAACCCUGAUCCAGCAAUGCCGCGUGAGUGAAGAAGGCCUUCGGGUUGUAAAGCUCUUUUGUCAGGGAAGAAACAGCAGCUCUAACACAGACUGCGAAUGACGGUACCCGAAGAAUAAGCACCGGCUAACUACGUGCCAGCAGCCGCGGUAAUACGUAGGGUGCGAGCGUUAAUCGGAAUUACUGGGCGUAAAGCGUGCGCAGGCGGUUAUACAAGACAGGCGUGAAAUCCCCGGGCUUAACCUGGGAAUGGCGUCUGUGACUGUAUAGCUAGAGUGUGUCAGAGGGGGGUGGAAUUCCACGUGUAGCAGUGAAAUGCGUAGAUAUGUGGAGGAACACCAAUGGCGAAGGCAGCCCCCUGGGAUAACACUGACGCUCAUGCACGAAAGCGUGGGGAGCAAACAGGAUUAGAUACCCUGGUAGUCCACGCCCUAAACGAUGCUGACUAGUUGUUGGGAAUUUACAUUCUCAGUAACGUAGCUAACGCGUGAAGUCAGCCGCCUGGGGAGUACGGUCGCAAGAUUAAAACUCAAAGGAAUUGACGG
rnacentral:rRNA from 1 species